rnacentral:misc_RNA from 1 species
CUUCACAUACGCGCCGUAUGUCAAUACGCAUACGCGGCGUAUGUCAUUUUUGGAGAUGGCAAUGGCCGUGAAACGGCGUGCACAGAUGAUGGAGAAAACCCGGGCCAAGCUCAUUCGAGCCGCUCGGAAGGCUUUCGCGGCCAAAGGCUAUGCGGGUGCGUCGAUGGACGAUCUGACCGCCGAAGCUGGCCUGACGCGCGGCGCGCUCUACAAAGGUUUGCUGCAGGCCGUCAUCGAUCAGAUCGAUGCAGAAAUGCUGGUGCGGAUGCGCGC